GACGAACGCUGGCGGCGUGCUUAACACAUGCAGGUCGAACGGAAAGGCCCUGCUUUUGUGGGGUGCUCGAGUGGCGAACGGGUGAGUAACACGUGAGUAACCUGCCCUUGACUUUGGGAUAACUUCAGGAAACUGGGGCUAAUACCGGAUAGGAGCUCCUGCUGCAUGGUGGGGGUUGGAAAGUUUCGGCGGUUGGGGAUGGACUCGCGGCUUAUCAGCUUGUUGGUGGGGUAGUGGCUUACCAAGGCUUUGACGGGUAGCCGGCCUGAGAGGGUGACCGGCCACAUUGGGACUGAGAUACGGCCCAGACUCCUACGGGAGGCAGCAGUGGGGAAGAUUGCACAAUGGGCGGAAGCCUGAUGCAGCAACGCCGCGUGCGGGAUGACGGCCUUCGGGUUGUAAACCGCUUUCGCCUGUGACGAAGCGUGAGUGACGGUAAUGGGUAAAGAAGCACCGGCUAACUACGUG
rnacentral:rRNA from 1 species